UACGUAGGGAGCAAGCGUUGUCCGGAAUUACUGGGUGUAAAGGGAGCGUAGGCGGGAGGAUAAGUUGAAUGUGAAAUCUAUGGGCUCAACCCAUAGCUGCGUUCAAAACUGUUCUUCUUGAGUGAAGUAGAGGCAGGCGGAAUUCCUAGUGUAGCGGUGAAAUGCGUAGAUAUUAGGAGGAACACCAGUGGCGAAGGCGGCCUGCUGGGCUUUUACUGACGCUGAGGCUCGAAAGCGUGGGUAGCAAA
rnacentral:rRNA from 1 species